GCUGGGCCAAUCAGGUUUUAGCCA
rnacentral:siRNA from 1 species